rnacentral:rRNA from 1 species
UACGAAGGGGGCUAGCGUUGCUCGGAAUCACUGGGCGUAAAGCGCACGUAGGCGGAUCGUUAAGUCGGAGGUGAAAUCCUGGAGCUCAACUCCAGAACUGCCUUUGAUACUGGAGAGCUUGAGUCCGGAAGAGGUGAGUGGAACUCCGAGUGUAGAGGUGAAAUUCGUAGAUAUUCGGAAGAACACCAGUGGCGAAGGCGGCUCACUGGUCCGGUACUGACGCUGAUGUGCGAAAGCGUGGGGAGCAAACAGG